rnacentral:rRNA from 1 species
GUAGGUGGCGAGCGUUGUCCGGAAUUACUGGGUGUAAAGGGAGUGUAGGCGGGAAAGCAAGUCAGAAGUGAAAACUCUGGGCUUAACCUAUAGCCUGCUUUUGAAACUGUUUUUCUUGAGUGAAGUAGAGGCAAGCGGAAUUCCUAGUGUAGCGGUGAAAUGCGUAGAUAUUAGGAGGAACACCAGUGGCGAAGGCGGCUUGCUGGGCUUUUACUGACGCUGAGGCUCGAAAGCGUGGGGAGCA